CCUACGGGAGGCAGCAGUGGGGGAUAUUGCACAAUGGGGGAAACCCUGAUGCAGCGACGCCGCGUGUGGGAAGACGGUCCUCUGGAUUGUAAACCACUGUCCCCAGGGACGAAGAUGACGGUACCUGGGGAGGAAGCUCCGGCUAACUACGUGCCAGCAGCCGCGGUAAUACGUAGGGAGCGAGGGUUGUCCGGAAUUACUGGGUGUAAGGGGAGCGUAGGCGGGACUGCAAGUUGGGUGUCAAAUCUACCGGCUCAACCGGUAGCCGCACUCAAAACUGCAGUUCUUGAGUGAAGUAGAGGCAGGCGGAAUUCCUAGUGUAGCGGUGAAAUGCGUAGAUAUUAGGAGGAACACCAGUGGCGAAGGCGGCCUGCUGGGCUUUUACUGACGCUGAGGCUCGAAAGUGUGGGGAGCAAACAGGAUUAGAUACCCUGGUAGUC
rnacentral:rRNA from 1 species